rnacentral:lncRNA from 1 species
GCAAUCAGUCUCACUGCACUGUAAUCUGCUAAGGGCAGCGCGCGAGUCCGUAAAGAUGGCAAUAUUCGAUGCGGUUAACUCCUCUUGCACGUAUUUCAGUGCAGCAUUAAUCGCUGCUAGCUCCGUAGUUGUUGACGAGGACCGAUGAGGUAUAUGAAAUAUACAUCGUAUUUGAGUCGAAGGG